rnacentral:lncRNA from 1 species
GGAUCCGCUGUCAUGGGUAAACUUUCCAGUAGUUCUUAAAUAAAAAUAAAAUAAAAAACCUUGUCUCUUGUAUCUGCUUUUUCAUCUAUUUAUUCCAGGUUUCUGUCAUUCUUUUUGACCUUGCCGUGUGUGUGUGUGUGUGUGUGUGUGUGUGUGUGUGUGUGUGUGUUGAGACAGGAUCUCUCUCUUUUGCCCAGGCUGGAGUGCAACAAUGCAAUCUCCACUCACUGCAACCUCAACCUCCCGGGCUCAAGAAAUCCUCCCACUUCCGGGCGUCCUAAUUGAGAAGAUUCACAACAAAACCCAGCGGGAAAAGUUUGCCUGCCAUUGGCAUGGCUGAUGAAGACUAGAAGUUUUAGCCAGUCUCAAGGGGCAGGGUUCUGUGAAAAGGAACAGUGUGGUUUGGGAGAAAUGGAUAAACUGAGCCUCGCUUGCCCUCGUGCCUGGGGGAGAGAGGCAACAAGUCUUAACAAACCAACAUCUUUGAGAAAAGAUAAACCUGGAGAUAAUAACAUAAGGGAGAGCUGAGCCAGUUGUCCUGUGGACAACUUAUUUAAAAAUAUUUCAGAUAUCAAAAUUCUAGCUGUAUGAUUUGUUUUGAAUUUUGUUUUUAUUUUCAAGAGGGCAAAUGGAUGGGAAUUUGUCAGCGUUCUACCAGGCAAAUUCACUGUUUCACUGAAAUGUUUGGAUUCUCUUAGCUACUGUAUGAAAAGUCCGAUUAUAUUGGUGUGUUCUUACAGUUGGGGUUUUGCAAUAACUUCUGUAUUUUAAUAUAAAUAAAUUCCUAAACUCCCUCCCCUCUCCCCCAUUUCAGGAAUUUAAAAUUAAGUAGAACAAAAAAACCAGCGCAUCUGCUACAGUCGUCACUCUAUUGUCAUGGGGAUCAAUCUUCACUAAACUUGAAGCAGUCGUAGCUUUGGCAGUGUUUUGGUUCAGACACCUGUUCACAGAAAAGCAUGAUGGGAAAAUAUUUCCUGACUUGAGUCUUCCUUUUUAAAUGUGAAUUUGUAUUUCUUUUUAAUUAUUUUAAAAUAUUUAAACCUUUUUCUUGAUCUUACAGAUCGUGUAGAUUGGGGUUGGGGAAGGAUGAAGGGCGAGUGAGUCUAUGGAUAAUGAAAUAAUCAGUGACUGAAACCAUUUUCCCAUCAUCCUUUGUUCUGAGCAUUCGCUGUACUUUAAGAUACCCAUCUUUUUCUUUUUAACCCUAAUCUUUCACUUGAAAGAUUUUAUUGUAUAAAAAGUUCCACAGGUCAAUAAAUUUAGAGGAAAAUGAGUAUUUGGUCCAAAAAAAAAAAGGAAAAAUAAUCAAGAUUUUAGGGCUUUUAUUUUUUCUUUUGUAGUUGUGUAAAAAAUGGGGAAAAAAAGCAGAAUUUUAAUGUGAAGACAUUUUUUGCUAUAAUUAUUAGUUUUAGAGGCAUUGUUAGUUUAGUGUGUGUGCAGAGUCCAUUUCCCACAUCUUUCCUCAAGUAUCCUCUAUUUUUAUCAUGAAUUCCCUUUUAGUCAACUGUAGGUUAUUUAAAAUAAAUUCCUUCAACUUAAUGGAAAAAAAAAAAAGAAACCCUCCCACCUCAGCCUCCUGGGUUCAAGAAAUCCUCCCACUUCGGCCUCCAGAGUAGCUGGAACUGCAGGUGCUGCCACUACUCCUGGCUAAUUUUU